GAUGAACGCUGGCGGCGUGCCUAAUACAUGCAAGUCGAGCGAACAGAUGAGGAGCUUGCUCCUCUGACGUUAGCGGCGGACGGGUGAGUAACACGUGGAUAACCUACCUAUAAGACUGGGAUAACUUCGGGAAACCGGAGCUAAUACCGGAUAAUAUAUUGAACCGCAUGGUUCAAUAGUGAAAGACGGUUUUGCUGUCACUUAUAGAUGGAUCCGCGCCGCAUUAGCUAGUUGGUAAGGUAACGGCUUACCAAGGCAACGAUGCGUAGCCGACCUGAGAGGGGGAGCGGCCACAGUGGAACUGACACAGGUCCCAGCCUCCGACGGGAGGCGGCGGUGGGGAUUCUUCCGCAAGGGGCGAAGCCCUACGGGAGCAGCCCCGCGGGAGGGAUAAGGGUCUCCGGAUCUUAAAACUUUUUUAUUGGGAAAAAAAAAAUGUGAAAGAAACUGUCCCCGUCUGGACGUUACCAAAUAAGAAAGCCCCGGCUACCUACGUG
rnacentral:rRNA from 1 species